rnacentral:lncRNA from 1 species
UUAACUGUAUUCAAAGGGUUUUUUAUUUUCUGAAAAAAUAUAAAAUUUUGUAUCUUACACUACAAAAAACAUGUACACAAACCAAAUGCACACAGAACUUCAAAUGGAGAAAAAAAAUACAGAAAUUCUAGUUCUUCCUUGAAUUAAUGCUGAGGCAUGGAUUUGAGCAAUCCCAGUGCCUAACACAGAAUAAAAUAACUCUAUACAGUUGCUUAUAACCUGCCUGAAAUUAAAACAUUAAAAUAAACAUAUUAACAAACGACUGAGUCUAAGUUUUAUUCUCAGACAAAAAAAAGAAUUGGUGUCUUUUCCUAAGUAAUAAUUAUGUGGUCAUUCUGAACAAGAACAUUCAAUCAUCUAUGUGUAAAAAGACUUUUUCAUAAAUCAACAAGAAAUGAAAAGAAAGUUCUUAUCUAUUUCUUCUUUGAUACAUUGCUAUGUAAUUAACAGCAUAAUAGAGAAAAUAUUCAAUGU